CUGAGGACUUAAAUGGUGAUGGAUAGAAUAAGAAAAGAAAGAUGAGAUGAAGCUUGGAUCGCCUCAGCAGUUAUGAGGGCAACCACAGCCUUGUGAAUGGCUAGAUCUGCCCUAUAAAGCAAUCUCUGAGCCUUUUCUCUCUUGAGUUUAGCCAUAUUAAGUACACGCUGUGCUGCACCAGAAGAAUCACGCAACCUUAACUCACCAAAAU
rnacentral:misc_RNA from 1 species